ensembl:lncRNA MKLN1-AS MKLN1 antisense RNA
CCUUGACGGCUGACCGACACUGGGUCUGAGGUGUAAGCGCUUUCCAGGCCCUUCCCUGGGGCUUGGAGGGGAAUGGCGCAAAGGACUUUUCUUACAAGCAGAGCCACUGCAGUUACCAAAGAGUAUGUCGCUUAUUGUCUAAGAGGUUGGACUCCUGAAAGCCUGGACAGUGUCAUCAUCUUCACCUGAAGAGUGGAAAAAUUCAAGCAAAGAGUUUCUCAGGAAAUGACCAAGUAAAACAUCUGGAGUAAGUCAGCAGGAUUCACAGUGACUCCCCCCAACCAGCUGGUGGUGUUUCUCUCUGAAAGCAGCGCUUGGUACCAGUGUGAACUCUCUUCCUUCAGAAGUCUCAUCAGGUGUUUCAGAUGAGUUCUCCGGAAUUUGGACCUCCUACUCUUGGGUUGAAGGUGGACGUAAUACGAGGGUCUGGUCCCCCAUACCUUGAGGACUCCGCUGCCAUCUGACAAUUACAGACAAUCCAAUUGUCCUCAUCCUUGAGGACUCUGCUGCCAUCUGACAAUUAGAGACAGUCCAAAACAUGCCACACUUUGAUCCUAAACACAUUCCUGGCUUUGGUCACUUUUGAAAAGUUCCUGAGUUAUGAGAAAUCAAUAAUAAGAGUGUUCAAAACCUGAACACUCUUUUUAGAAAUACCUGCUGGAACUACAUAUAUGAUUUAUGGGGUACUGUCUUGUAGUAUCUGGGAAAGUAGACCCAUCUAACCUGGAAUGAUCAUAGGCAACAAUGACCAAAAAUGGGGAUCUUUUGAUAUACCUAAAGUAAUUUAUUUGUGCACACCAUUGGAAAGAGCUGGUUUUAGAACCAGACAUGUAAAUAAGAGACUGACUUCCACUGGCACCUAAAAACUUCUAAAAGAAAUCCUGAAAGAAAAAGUCACCUUCAUUCAAGAGGUAAACAAAGGGAUAUUUGAAACUAUGUUAAAAGACUUCAGAGGCUUUCUCCCUUUCACCUCCAGACCCUCCUUUUCCUUCCAGCCCUGUGAUCUGAACUCAUCCCUUUCUGCCGCUUCUCUUGGCUUCCAUACAUCUCUUAGGCAGAGAUGUUUUAAAAUUUCACAAUGUACACAUUUCCUUCUCUCAGGGGAAAUGAAUUUAAAUUUAGAGCAGAAGGAACAAGCAGAACAACAACAGAAUGGGAAUAAGACUGCUGAGACUAUAAAAAUGCAGAUCCAACAAAAUUUUUUCUCACCAGGUCUAGUGAAUGACACUGUGAUAUGGUCUGGCUCUGUGUUCCCAACAAAAUGUCAUCUCGAAUUGUAAUCCCCACGUGUCGGGGGAGAAGCCUGGUGGGAGAUGAUUGGAUCAUGGAGGCAGUUUCCCCCAUGCUGUUUUCAUGAUAGGGAGGGAGUUCUUACGAGAUGUGAUGGUUUAAAAGUGUUUGGCAGUGGCCGGGCGCGGUGGCUCACGCCUGUAAUCCCAGCACUUUGGGAGGCCGAGGCGGGUGGAUCAUGAGGUCAGGAGAUCGAGACCAUCCUGGCUAACAAGGUGAA